rnacentral:rRNA from 1 species
GAUGAACGCUGGCGGCGUGCCUAAUACAUGCAAGUCGAGCGAGCAGACGAGGAGCUUGCUCCUCUGACGUUAGCGGCGGACGGGUGAGUAACACGUGGAUAACCUACCUAUAAGACUGGGAUAACUUCGGGAAACCGGAGCUAAUACCGGAUAAUAUAUUGAACCGCAUGGUUCAAUAGUGAAAGACGGUUUUGCUGCCACUUAUAGAUGGAUCCGCGCCGCAUUAGCUAGUUGGUAAGGUAACGGCUUACCAAGGCAACGAUGCGUAGCCGACCUGAGAGGGUGAUCGGCCACACUGGAACUGAGACACGGUCCAGACUCCUACGGGAGGCAGCAGUAGGGAAUCUUCCGCAAUGGGCGAAAGCCUGACGGAGCAACGCCGCGUGAGUGAUGAAGGUCUUCGGAUCGUAAAACUCUGUUAUUAGGGAAGAACAAAUGUGUAAGUAACUAUGCACGUCUUGACGGUACCUAAUCAGAAAGCCACGGCUAACUACGUG